UACGAAGGGGGCUAGCGUUGCUCGGAAUCACUGGGCGUAAAGGGUGCGUAGGCGGGUCUUUAAGUCAGGGGUGAAAUCCUGGAGCUCAACUCCAGAACUGCCUUUGAUACUGAGAUCUUGAGUUCGGGAGAGGUGAGUGGAACUGCGAGUGUAGAGGUGAAAUUCGUAGAUAUUCGCAAGAACACCAGUGGCGAAGGCGGCUCACUGGCCCGAUACUGACGCUGAGGCACGAAAAGCGUGGGGAGCAAACAGGG
rnacentral:rRNA from 1 species